rnacentral:rRNA from 1 species
AGAGUUUGAUUAUGGCUCAGAUUGAACGCUGGCGGCAGGCCUAACACAUGCAAGUCGAGCGGUAGAGAGAAGCUUGCUUCUCUUGAGAGCGGCGGACGGGUGAGUAAUGCCUAGGAAUCUGCCUGGUAGUGGGGAAUAACGUUCGGAAACGGACGCUAAUACCGCAUACGUCCUACGGGAGAAAGCAGGGGACCUUCGGGCCUUGCGCUAUCAGAUGAGCCUAGGUCGGAUUAGCUAGUUGGUGAGGUAAUGGCUCACCAAGGCGACGAUCCGUAACUGGUCUGAGAGGAUGAUCAGUCACACUGGAACUGAGACACGGUCCAGACUCCUACGGGAGGCAGCAGUGGGGAAUAUUGCACAAUGGACGCAAGCCUGAUGCAGCCAUGCCGCGUGUAUGAAGAAGGCCUUCGGGUUGUAAAGUACUUUCAGCGGGGAGGAAGGGAGUAAAGUUAAUACCUUUGCUCAUUGACGUUACCCGCAGAAGAAGCACCGGCUAACUCCGUGCCAGCAGCCGCGGUAAU